AUUGAACGCUGGCGGCAGGCCUAACACAUGCAAGUCGAACGGUAACAGGAAGCAGCUUGCUGCUUUGCUGACGAGUGGCGGACGGGUGAGUAAUGUCUGGGAAACUGCCUGAUGGAGGGGGAUAACUACUGGAAACGGUAGCUAAUACCGCAUAACGUCGCAAGACCAAAGAGGGGGACCUUCGGGCCUCUUGCCAUCGGAUGUGCCCAGAUGGGAUUAGCUAGUAGGUGGGGUAACGGCUCACCUAGGCGACGAUCCCUAGCUGGUCUGAGAGGAUGACCAGCCACACUGGAACUGAGACACGGUCCAGACUCCUACGGGAGGCAGCAGUGGGGAAUAUUGCACAAUGGGCGAAAGCCUGAUGCAGCCAUGCCGCGUGUAUGAAGAAGGCCUUCGGGUUGUAAAGUACUUUCAGCGGGGAGGAAGGGAGUAAAGUUAAUACCUUUGCUCAUUGACGUUACCCGCAGAAGAAGCACCGGCUAACUCCGUG
rnacentral:rRNA from 1 species